rnacentral:rRNA from 1 species
AUACGGAGGGGGUUAGCGUUGUUCGGAAUUACUGGGCGUAAAGCGUACGUAGGCGGAUUAGUAAGUUAGGGGUGAAAUCCCGAGGCUCAACCUCGGAACUGCCUCUAAAACUGCUAGUCUUGAGUUCGAGAGAGGUGAGUGGAAUUCCUAGUGUAGAGGUGAAAUUCGUAGAUAUUAGGAGGAACACCAGUGGCGAAGGCGGCUCACUGGCUCGAUACUGACGCUGAGGUACGAAAGCGUGGGUAGCAAACGGGAUUAGAAACCCGUGUAGUCC